ACCUCUGGCUACACCAUCCUGAACAUGCCUGAUCUCAUCUAAUCUUAGAAGCUUAGAAGAAUCAGGGUUGGUCCCAGUUAGUACUUGGAUGGGUGACUGCUUGGGAAUACUUGGUCUGGGUGCUGUAGGCU
ensembl:rRNA 5S_rRNA 5S ribosomal RNA